rnacentral:rRNA from 1 species
UACGUAGGCAGCGAGCGUUGUUCGGAAUUACUGGGCGUAAAGAGUGUGUAGGCGGUGCUCUAAGUUCGGUGUGAAAUCUCCUGGCUCAACUGGGAGGGUGCGCCGGAAACUGGAGUGCUUGAGCGUGGGAGAGGAAAGCGGAAUUCCUGGUGUAGCGGUGAAAUGCGUAGAUAUCAGGAGGAACACCUGUGGUGUAGACAGCUUACUGGACCACUUCUGACGCUGAGACACGAAAGCGUGGGUAGCAAACAGG